ACUCCCACCGAGACGAGCUCGUAGUUGGAUAUCUGGAUUGAGUUUGUUCGUGGUUUCCACAGCAAUUCAGUUCAUCCUUCUGUUAAAGCACCUUGUACUUGUACCGGGUGUCAGCUCAGAUAUUUACCUUGAGAAAAUUAGAGUUGUCAGGCAGGCGAGGCGCAAUACAACAGCUGGGAAGAAGAGAUUGACACGACUCUGAGGUCGGCCAGAAAAGUUAAUGUUAAUAGUACGUGGCUGGAUUAUUAUUUUUUUGCGGAGAGGUAAUGGUGGUUUUGUAAAAAUGCUAAGGGGAGGAUAAGAGAAGAGGGCGAAU
rnacentral:rRNA from 1 species